GACAUAUAUGUGGGACCUGCACCUAGGUGAUGUAACUCUCUUGACUGGGUCCUUUUCUAAGGAGGGCUUGCGAAUGUCUCAGGACCCAGGACCAUGUGAUGUGGCACUUCAGCCUGGAUUCUGCCCACUUAAUAAAUUGCCUAGGUGGUUUGGUGACAUUUGAAGCAUGACUCAGCAGACCUGUGGUGCUUUGACUCUCCUACUGGAACACAAUCUUCAAGUGCCCAGAGGACAGUUGAAAUUGCGACAUACAUUCGCCAAGCACCUAAGCAACGUAUAACACCUUUUUGGGAAUGCGACAGAGGGCACUUUUACAUAUCUCUGGGACCAGCGCCCAGCCGAUGUAAAAUCUUGGCCUGAAACACAGCUACAAAGAGCAUUAUGGCUUUUAUCUGGCUCUAUCAUGUGAUGUGACUUCCUGCUUGACCCUGCCCACAUGGAGCAUUGUGACAUAUGUGUGGAACCUGCAGUUAGGGCCCAACACCUGGAUGAUGUUACUCUUCUGCCUAGGUCAUGCGUAAAGAGGGAAUUAGGGCAUAUUGCUUGGCCCAGUCCCCUAAUGAUAUGACUCUCCUGCUUGUGCCAGAGCCACAGAAGUGUGCUUGGUGACAUAAUCUUUGAGGCUGUCACAUCACCAAGAUUAUAUUGUAUCACUGGACCAGCAUAAAGCUGACACUUCUGACUAUGCCCAGCCUUCAAAUAAUACUACACUGUAUAAUUGGCUCAACACCCAG